UCCAUUUUGCACAUGAUCCCUAAUAAAAUGAUAUCUUAUUUCUAUGUGUUUGGCUUUAGGAAUGAGAUAUUUAGGAUGUAAGCCAGAAGUGAUCUCUAAAUGUAGAUUCCAAAGAUAGUUUUGAAAUCAAGUGUAGAUGGAAUCCUUUUCAAGUUAUUUCAAGGAGUAUCAAGAAUAAUAUUCAAAGAAAGGCACGAAUGAAAAUCCAACAUUUUUUUUUUAAUAUAUUAAGUAUAUAGCAAAAUGAGAGCAAUCUAAUUAAUUUUCAGAGUAUAGUAUAAGAGCAGAUAAAGAUCAAAA
rnacentral:lncRNA from 1 species